rnacentral:piRNA from 1 species
UGGGCUGAUGCCUCACAUCUGGUGUGUGGU